rnacentral:rRNA from 1 species
ACGUACACUCCUACGGGAGGCAGCAGUGGGGAAUAUUGGACAAUGGGCGCAAGCCUGAUCCAGCCAUGCCGCGUGAGUGAUGAAGGCCCUAGGGUUGUAAAGCUCUUUCACCGGUGAAGAUAAUGACGGUAACCGGAGAAGAAGCCCCGGCUAACUUCGUGCCAGCAGCCGCGGUAAUACGAAGGGGGCUAGCGUUGUUCGGAUUUACUGGGCGUAAAGCGCACGUAGGCGGACUAUUAAGUCAGGGGUGAAAUCCCGGGGCUCAACCCCGGAACUGCCUUUGAUACUGGUAGUCUUGAGUUCGAGAGAGGUGAGUGGAAUUCCGAGUGUAGAGGUGAAAUUCGUAGAUAUUCGGAGGAACACCAGUGGCGAAGGCGGUUCACUGGCUCGAUACUGACGCUGAGGUGCGAAAGCGUGGGGAGCAAACAGGAUUAGAAACCCGAGUAGUCCCAUGAU